AUUGAACGCUGGCGGGAUGCUUUACACAUGCAAGUCGAACGGCAGCAUAGAGAGCUUGCUCUCUGAUGGCGAGUGGCGAACGGGUGAGUAAUAUAUCGGAACGUGCCCAGUAAUGGGGAAUAACUAGCCGAAAGGUUAGCUAAUACCGCAUACGACCUACGGGUGAAAGCAGGGGAUCUUAGGACCUUGCGUUAUUGGAGCGGCCGAUAUCUGAUUAGCUUGUUGGUGGGGUAAAAGCCUACCAAGGCAACGAUCAGUAGCUGGUCUGAGAGGACGAUCAGCCACACUGGAACUGAGACACGGUCCAGACUCCUACGGGAGGCAGCAGUGGGGAAUUUUGGACAAUGGGGGAAACCCUGAUCCAGCCAUCCCGCGUGAGUGAAGAAGGCCUUCGGGUUGUAAAGCUCUUUCGAAAGUGAAGAAAACUUAUUUCAUAAUAUGUUAUGAGUAUGACGGUAACUUUAGAAGAAGCACCGGCUAACUACGUGCCAGCAGCCGCGGUAAUACGUAGGGUGCGAGCGUUAAUCGGAAUUACUGGGCGUAAAGCGUGCGCAGGCGGUUUUGUAAGUCAGAUGUGAAAUCCCCGAGCUUAACUUGGGAACUGCGUUUGAAACUACAAGACUAGAGUGUGUCAGAGGGGGGUAGAAUUCCACGUGUAGCAGUGAAAUGCGUAGAGAUGUGGAGGAAUACCAAUGGCGAAGGCAGCCCCCUGGGAUAACACUGA
rnacentral:rRNA from 1 species